GGAAAGAGGCGAAGGGAAGUGAGUUCUUCACAAUUUUAUUGUUUUGGCGUCAAAGAUUCCAGUUGAUUGCUAUUUCCUAUCUGCAACAUCCAGCAAAAGCUUCAUAACUUCCCAUUUGGCUGGCAAAACAAAACAAAAUCAUCAGAGAGUCCAGAAGCUUGAGAAAGGUGGUUUAUAAGAGAACACACCCAAGAUCCUUGAGCCCAUGGACAACUACAGCUCUGUGAUAAAUCUGCAUGAAUCUUCAACAGGAAGAUCAAGGAAUGGGCUGAUGGUGCUGUGUCAGUGGUGCUUGGAGGCACUUGUGGUGAUAGGGAGAAGACUCCAUGUGCGCUGAUCAGCUCUCUAGCCUCCAUUUCUUGGAGAGCCGUAAAUACUGUCUCCUACACUUGGGCAACCACAUCGGCCACGAUUCAAGAUCCGCGUAAGCCAGUCCCCGUGUUCUUGGCCACAGGGAUGAGUCAACGGACGGGAACGUGUUCCAAGUCUGGCUAAUCAGAGCCAGAGACACUUAAUUUCAGGGACUUUAUUUGAACCGUUAGGGUUUCAGACCUAAUUUCUUCCAUAUUUGUUCCAAGAAGCACGUAGCCCUAGAUGCUAUUGCCAGCCAUUUUAUGACCAUGAAGGUGGAUAAUCCGUUGAGAAACUGGAACUGAAAAUAGAGAAAGUCAGUCCUGCCUACACUGUCUGAGCCCAUGUAUCCAGUCUCCCUCUAGGUUUUAUUUAAUUUUUUUGAUACUGAGCUAAUAAAUUGCUUUCAUAACUUAGGCCAGGUCUGAACUGGGUUGCUUCUUCUAUCUAACCAAAAGCAUUUAUGCUAAUAUAGCCUUCCAUUUUUUUGGAUUCAAUUUUAGAAAUAAAAAUUAAAAUAUCAAUUUUUUUCUUACUCUGCAGUUUGCAGGGAUAUUCCACAUUCAUUAUCUCAUUUGAUUCUGACAAAUAACAUGCCAUUUUACAGAUGAAAGUCAUUAGUGGAUAAUUUGGAACUGGAAUUCACAUUUUGGAUUCUUA